AUUGAACGCUGGCGGCAUGCUUUACACAUGCAAGUCGAACGGUAACAGGCCGCAAGGUGCUGACGAGUGGCGAACGGGUGAGUAAUGUAUCGGAAUGUGCCCAGUCGUGGGGAUAACGCAGCGAAAGCUGCGCUAAUACCGCAUACGAUCUAUGGAUGAAAGCGGGGGACCGUAAGGCCUCGCGCGAUUGGAGCGGCCGAUAUCAGAUUAGGUAGUUGGUGGGGUAAAGGCUCACCAAGCCAACGAUCUGUAGCUGGUCUGAGAGGACGACCAGCCACACUGGGACUGAGACACGGCCCAGACUCCUACGGGAGCAGCAGUGGGGAAUUUUGGACAAUGGGCGCAAGCCUGAUCCAGCAAAUGCCGCGUGCAGG
rnacentral:rRNA from 1 species